CGCCUUGAAAGGUCCAUCACGUUCGCCUACCAAAUGGAAGGAGUGUUUAAACUACUGGAAAAAAACAGAUAAAUAGGGUAUUGUCUGGUGGAGGAUUAAUGCAUGAAAUUUAAUCCUCCGAGUUGGAAGAGCGGGUGAUGGAAACACUAGGGAGGGCCGUGGUUGAUGGACUGCCUGAUGUCCCAACAAUUGGAGUGGAGAACGACAUUAUAAUCAAUAUGGAUCCG
rnacentral:lncRNA from 1 species